rnacentral:rRNA from 1 species
GGGCCCGCACAAGCGGUGGAGCAUGUGGUUUAAUUCGAUGCAACGCGAAGAACCUUACCAGGGUUUGACAUCCUGCGAACCUCUUAGAAAUUUGAGGGUGCCUUCGGGAAUGCAGUGACAGGUGCUGCAUGGCUGUCGUCAGCUCGUGUCGUGAGAUGUUCGGUUAAGUCCGGCAACGAGCGCAACCCACAUCCUUAGUUGCCAGCAGUUCGGCUGGGCACUCUAAGGAAACUGCCCGUGAUAAGCGGGAGGAAGGCGGGGACGACGUCAAGUCAUCAUGGCCCUUACGACCAGGGCUACACACGUGCUACAAUGGUAGGUACAGAGGGCAGCUACACAGCGAUGUGAUGCGAAUCUCAAAAAGCCUAUCGUAGUCCAGAUUGGAGUCUGCAACUCGACUCCAUGAAGUAGGAAUCGCUAGUAAUCG